rnacentral:rRNA from 1 species
GGGGGAUAUUGCACAAUGGAGGAAACUCUGAUGCAGCGACGCCGCGUGAGUGAAGAAGUAUUUCGGUAUGUAAAGCUCUAUCAGCAGGGAAUAAAAAAAUGAAAGUACCUGACUAAGAAGCCCCGGCUAACUACGUGCCAGCAGCCGCGGUAAUACGUAGGGGGCAAGCGUUAUCCGGAUUUACUGGGUGUAAAGGGAGCGUAGGUGGUGCAGCAAGUCAGGAGUGAAAGCCCGGGGCCCAACCCCGGUAUUGCUUUUGAAACUACUGUGCUGGAGUGCAGGAAGGGUAAGCGGAAUUCCUAGUGUAGCGGUGAAAUGCGUAGAUAUUAGGAAGAACACCGGUGGCGAAGGCGGCUUACUGGACUGUAACUGACACUGAGGCUCGAAAGCGUGGGUAGCAAAC